CGCGUAGGCGGUGCCACAAGUCACUUGUGAAAUCUCCGGGCUUAACUCGGAGCCUGCAGGCGAAACUGUGGUGCUGGAGUAUGGGAGAGGUGCGUGGAAUUCCCGGUGUAGCGGUGAGAUGCGUAGAUAUCGGGAGGAACACCUGUGGCGAAAGCGGCGCACUGGACCAUAACUGACGCUGAGGCGCGAAAGCUAGGGGAGCAAACAGGAUUAGAUACCCUGGUAGUCCUAGCCCUAAACGAUGAUUGCUUGGUGUAGCAGGUACCCAAUCCUGCUGUGCCGCAGCUAACGCGAUAAGCAAUCCGCCUGGGGAGUACGGUCGCAAGGCUGAA
rnacentral:rRNA from 1 species